AAGUCGUAACAAGGUUUCCGUAGGUGAACCUGCGGAAGGAUCAUUACAGAGAAAAUACCCCUUUUAGGGUAUAUCUCCCACCCUUUGUUUACAAUACCAUUGUUGCUUUGGCAGGCCCGUUUAAGUACCACCGGCCAUUGCUGGUCAGCGUCUGCCAAAGAAAACCUUAAAUACUAUUGUAAUUGUUUGUCAGAGUACUAUUUUAAAAAGUUAAAACUUUCAACAACGGAUCUCUUGGUUCUG
rnacentral:misc_RNA from 1 species